GAUGAACGCUAGCGAUAGGCUUAACACAUGCAAGUCGAGGGGCAGCAUGGUCUUAGCUUGCUAAGACUGAUGGCGACCGGCGCACGGGUGCGUAACGCGUAUGCAACUUGCCUCACAGAGGGGGAUAACCCGUCGAAAGACGGACUAAUACCGCGUACACUUGGAGGGAGGCAUCUCCCAUCAAGGAAAAGAAAUUCGCUGUGAGAUAGGCAUGCGUCCCAUUAGCUAGUUGGUGAGGUAACGGCUCACCAAGGCAACGAUGGGUAGGGGAACUGAGAGGUUGAACCCCCCGCUGGUACUGAGACACGGACCAGACUCCUACGGGAGGCAGCAGUGAGGAAUAUUGGUCAAUGGGCGAGAGCCUGAACCAGCCAAGUCGCGUGAAGGAUGACUGUCUUAUGGAUUGUAAACUUCUUUUGUAGGGGAAUAAAGAACGGUACGUGUACCGUAGUGAAUGUACCCUACGAAUAAGCAUCGGCUAACUCCGUGCCAGCCGCCGCAGUAA
rnacentral:rRNA from 1 species